CGCUUCUCAUGCGGCUUGGGGUUUUUCCCAUUUCUUUGGCUGCGGUGGAAAAUCCUUUAACGUUCGGUGCACUUUUUCGCGAUCCGAUCGUAUACGAAUCUGAAUUCGUGUCGUGCCCAUUGCCUUGUCUACAGAUAUCGAAUGAUAUAUAGAUUUAGCGCAUAUUUGUUUUGUGCAGGGUGAAUAUUUUGGAAAAUUACCCAGAAUCGCGUAUGCAUAGGGAUAUAUCCAAAUAUAUGUAUGUGAAUAAUCGGUGCGAACGUGAGAAUUGUGCGGCCCCUGCGACGCCAACGCCGACGCCGACGCCGCUGCCACUGUCGCCGAGUGUCAAUUAUGUGGAAAUAUAUUUACAAAGAUAUAUGCAGACAUAUAUAUACAUAUAUGUACGUACGUGUUUGUUAGUGUGUGUGGUGAUUCCCUCCUGGCACUGAAUGUCACUAAAUGCGCCCGCCCGCCCCCACAACAGGCAGCUUCUUUAUCGCGUGUGAUAGAAAGAGAGAAAGAGUGCACGAGAGGAGGAGUGUGUAAGUGAGUGAGAGUGGUUGCGUCGCGCUCUGUGUCUCUGAGUGUGAGUGUGGCUGUGGUGCGUGUAGAUCAGUCGCGUCCCCCUUCCCCACCCCCCAACAAUCAUUCAACAAACAAUUUUCAUUCAUUGCUCCCCCGCUCGGUCCAAGCGGCGAUUCUGCUUUGCCUCUUCUCUGAUCUGCUCUGAUCUUCUCUGCUCUGCUCUGCUCUGUCCCCAAAGCCACGCACAAACCGACAUCAGAUAAGAGGAGAGAGAGAGAGAGGAAGAGAGCAAAAGAGAGCCACGCGGCGUGUGAACAAAAAGUGCUCUCGUCUCCGGCGACCAUAGAACAGUGGGUUGCAUAGAUAGUGCCCGGGCCAUGCCCCCCUAUGACGCCUCUUAGGCGUUAUCAGCGCACACAUAAAGACCUGACCAAAAUCCACACAAAAUGGCGAUGAACCCGAGUGCCAGAGAAACACCGCAGGCCUGAAACACUGAAACUGCCGUCGGUUCGGCUCCAAAUCCACACAUCCAUCGACCACAAACCAUCCGCCCCGGGAGGAGCGAUAAGCAAUCGAAAAGUUUGGAGCCCAUAGCUCGCAUCGAACCCGAAACAAGCGCCUAAGAUGUGUUCCCGCAACAUAAAGAUCUCGGUGGUGCUGUUUCUCGUCUUGAUACCAAUCUUCACAGCCUUGCCACACAACCACAAUCUGUCGAAGCGCAGCAACUUCUUCGAUCUGGAGUGCAAGGGGAUCUUCAACAAGACCAUGUUCUUUCGACUGGAUCGCAUCUGCGAGGACUGCUAUCAGCUGUUCCGCGAGACGAGUAUACAUCGGUUAUGCAAGAAAGACUGCUUUGAUUCAAAAUGGUUUGGCGAGUGCCUGAAAGUGCUGCUCAUACCAGAAGAAGAGGUAUCGAACUUGCAGCACUUUCUGAGGGUAGUGAAUGGUUCGCCCAUAUCCUUCAACAUGACGCCGGGCCAAACAUAACUCUAAGAUCCUGAACACCCCCACAGAGAUCAAGAGCCCGAACAAAAACAAACAAAUUUAAUAAUUUAAAACGCCCAAAUUUAAUUCGUACUUAUUUAUUACUGUAGUCCUUACAGUUUAUACUAUAUGUGUUUUUUUAAAAACGAAUUACUUUUAUUAAUUUAUUGAGAACGUUAUGCGUUUGUUGUAAGUACCAUAAAUCGUAGGGAAACCACCGCAUGGAGAUGGAGAGAUGUAGAGAUGUAGAGAAAGUAACGAUAGAGAAAGAGAGAAGGAGUGGGUGGGUGGGUGGAAGAGACUCUACCGCCUGGAAUCGAAGUAUUUAUCUAUAAGUAUUCCUAGCUUGUUUUAUUAUUAUUAUUAUAAUUAAUAUUAUUGCGUUAUGCGUUCUGUAUAUACAAUAAACAAAAGAAAUCCAUUGUUUUACAUCCAUGUAGAGUAGAAUUAUUAUUUGUAUUUUUGUAUUUUACUGUAAAAUCAGCAUUUAAUUUUACAUCUUACACACGAUAAUCCGCGGAAACAAACCCCCCUCCCCCUGAGAGUAAAAGAGAAGGCGCACACCUAACACACCAGACCGAAAGUAUUUUGCAAAUGUAUUACAAUUAAUUUUGUAACGAUUAAGCCCCUAAUUAGAAUAAAUCAGAGAAGCGAGUGGAAAUAUACAUAUACAUAUGUAUCUAUAUAUGGGAAUCUAUAUCCGCAUAUACCCAACACUUAUCCGCACCCAUACUAAACUACUAAACGCUUAGUCUUAACGCUAAAACGCAAUUUGUGCAAAACACAAACAAAAAACCUUUGGUAAAAGCACACAAAAAAAAUGAAGGAAUACAUUACAAAUGUAGAAAAAAAAAACGGAACGAAACAUGUGAAUGUAAAAUAAACGAAAUCAUCAUUCGCUGGCUAUUGAGAGAGGAGAGCAUCAAAAUUGUGAUAAAUGAGAAUUAGAAAUGCGAAGCAGACCAGCCAGAAAUCCCAGAACCAAACAGAAAUCACAACCAGAACCAGAAAGAGAGCGGAACUGAGAACGAGAGAGACCAUAGUCGGAGACGGCGAACUACGCGCGCGUUUUACACGCGACUAAAAACGCUCGCUUACCGUUUUUGUUUUGGCAAGAAUGCUUCGGAUCGCCCUUCUUCAACGCCUGCAUAGAGGCUCUUCAGCUGCACGAGGAAAUGGACAAAUAUAACGAAUGGCGCGAUACCCUUGGCCGAAAGUAAACGGGCGCUGGCACUGGCUUUGGCACUGGCACAAGCAGCUACUUAAUUCUAUAACCUAAUCAUACUAUGUACUACUACUAUACAUCUAGCCACGAAAGUGGCAGAACCAGAAUACGAUACGGCACGAAACAAUGGCAUCAAGGAAACAAACGAUCAAACGACCCGAGAAGAUGACGAGAAAUGUCUAAAAACUUGAAAUACCUAUCGAUUAAGCGAGAGGAACAAAACAAAACCAAACAGAAAUGUUGCAAAAAAUAUUAACUAAAUAUAACUACGACUAUGAAUACAUAUAUAUUGUAUGCAUGUGGCGGAGAGUAGAAAUUCGAAUUCGUUUUGUUUUUCUUUUUUUGGUUCUGGCCGAUCCAGCCAUCGAUUCAUCGAUCCGUACAACAGUCUCGUGGAGCAUUGAGUUUAGUUAUUAGAGUAUUAUGAUAGUUUCUUUUAGUUCUUCCAUAGAAAAACCAGCAAAGCAAACGAACAAGUGAACAAACGAACAAGAAUCAAAAUGUCUGAUGUAAAUAAAUUAUUUGUCUUCUUUUUAAAUAAUUAUAUGCGUAUGCACUUAUUUAUAAUGCUUAUAUAUUUUGUACAUUUCCUUCAUUUGGUAAGCUUAAGUUAUUAACCUGUUACGGCAAUGAGUUUUACGUUCUACCACCACGCGAUAAACCUAUACAAUAGUAGACACUUUGUAAGAGUACCAGCAAUCCCCAGAGAAUCCACGCAAUAGAAUCUUAAAAUUCAAAUCAAAUCUACUACACGACAUAAUUCGAUGCGAUUAAGCCUACCAUUGCAUAUGCAUAACUAUUAAUUAAUUUAAACUUGUUUGGAUCUAGUCGUAAAAUAUAAAUAAAGAUUGUAUAUUUCAAGAGGA